GUAAAGCCUUCGUGGGGACUCAGUUCAGGGAGUUUAUGGACCAGUUAGGUGACUUACACUGCAUUUUCCCCUGCCCCCAUCCACACAGCUCAAGAGUGUGGCUUGCCUGCGAGCCACAGAGAAGAGACCUGGAGGGAUGAAUUCUUAUUAUACCAUUCAUCGUGCCCAUGAGGCCAAAGGAAUAGGCUUCUUCUUGACCUUUAUUAUUCACAUAAGAAGAACACAGAGAGAAAUGAUUUCAGAUAGAGUGAGAAAAUUGACAGAGAGGAAGAGAGAGAAAAUUGACAACUCAGCCUAAGUACUGAUACAUCUCAAGCAUUUAGACCAGUGACUGACACCUAAUCGGCUGUCAAUAUUUGUUGAACGACUGGAAAAAUUCUGUAAUGACUCAUGGGGGAACUUCUGGAUGCAGAUGGUGGUGAAGCUAGAAUACUGAAUCUCUCUCCUCCAUUAGAUAAUGAAAUAGAAAUUGUAAAAGAUCUUUGGGUACUAGAUCAGAUGUGGCUGAAAGAGCACAUUUUGGUAUGGUGGAAAUGGGAGAGGGUUUGGAACCACAUUAAAGGUAUGACUCUCUGGUCUCAUCGGAUCAGCAAUGCCUGACAGGGUGCUGGCCACAACCUAGAUAUUCAGCAUGUCAAGAUGAAUGGAUGGAGGGAUGGAUGGAAAGACAAAUGAUCUCAUAGUUAUUCACAUCCUUCAGGUGUCAGCUCAAAUGUCGCAUUGCAGAGCACUUC